rnacentral:rRNA from 1 species
CCCUACCGCUGAGUUACCAGCACGUAAAGUGGGGACGUCUCAUGGACUGCCGGCGACAAGCCGGAGGAGGUGGGGACGGACGUCAAGUCAUCAUGGCCCUCAUGUCCAGGGCGACACACGUGCUACAAUGGCCGGCACAACGGGAAGCGACGGCGCGAGUCGUAGCGGAUCCCUCAAAGCCGGUCCCAGUUCGGAUUGCAGUCUGCAACUCGACUGCAUGAAGCCGGAAUCGCUAGUAAUCGUGAAUCAGAAUGUCACGGUGAAUACGUUCCCGGGCCUU